rnacentral:rRNA from 1 species
GGAAUCUUGCACAAUGGAGGAAACUCUGAUGCAGCGAUGCCGCGUGAGUGAAGAAGGCCUUUGGGUUGUAAAGCUCUUUUGUAGGGGAAGAUAAUGACUGUACCCUAAGAAUAAGGUCCGGCUAACUUCGUGCCAGCAGCCGCGGUAAUACGGAGGGACCUAGCGUAGUUCGGAAUUACUGGGCGUAAAGCGCGCGUAGGCCGUUGAGUUAGUUAAUUGUGAAAUCCCAAAGCUUAACUUUGGAACUGCAAUUAAAACUGCUCGACUAGAGUUUGAUAGAGGAAAGCGGAAUACAUAGUGUAGAGGUGAAAUUCGUAGAUAUUAUGUAGAACACCAGUUGCGAAGGCGGCUUUCUGGAUCAACACUGACGCUGAGGCGCGAAAGUAUGGGUAGCAAAGAGGAUUAGAUACCCUCGUAGUCCAUACCAUAAACGAUGAUUGCUAGAUGUUGGAAAUUUAUUUUCAGUAUCGCAGCUAACGCAUUAAGCAAUCCGCCUGGGGAGUACGACCGCAAGGUUAAAACUCAAAUGAAUUGACGG